CAAACCAACAGGAACAGGAAGAGAGUAGCUAUCUCAGCAUAUAGAUAUAAAUCAAUAUCUUCACAAAGUCACUCUUCCUUUCAAAAGCUUCAAAACAAGAACUUCUUCUCAUCUAUUUUAUUUAUCUCAUUUGUGCCCUACUUAAUAGAUAUUGAUUUGAUAGGCACGUGCCAUUUAAAUAGAAAAUAUAAAAUGAAUAUUCUAAUUGUAAUUGAAGAAUGCCAGCUUAAUCCAGAAGUUCCCUGUGUAUAAAAGACCUUCCAAAAAUUGUCUGUAUCCCUUCCUUCUCUCUGUCUGGGGAGAACCUGAUUCUGGGGCAGAAGCCAUGCAGCCCAAGAAGUCACAUGCCGCUGAAAUGGUUCUCUGGAAUCUACCACCGGCCAGAUGUCUCAGGUCCUGAGAAAACUCAAACACCAUCUAAAAGUUUCCACUGGAUGACUGAGACCAUUAAAUUUUCUUUUGAGAAAUAUGUAAACAUA